rnacentral:rRNA from 1 species
GACGAACGCUGGCGGCGUGCUUAACACAUGCAAGUCGAACGGAAAGGCCCUGCUUUUGUGGUGUGCUCAAGUGGCGAACGGGUGAGUAACACGUGAGUAACCUGCCCUUGACUUUGGGAUAACUUCAGGAAACUGGGGCUAAUACCGGAUAGGAGCUCCUGCUGCAUGGUGGGGGUUGGAAAGUUUCGGCGGUUGGGGAUGGACUCGCGGCUUAUCAGCUUGUUGGUGGGGUAGUGGCUUACCAAGGCUUUGACGGGUAGCCGGCCUGAGAGGGUGACCGGCCACAUUGGGACUGAGAUACGGCCCAGACUCCUACGGGAGGCAGCAGUGGGGAAUAUUGCACAAUGGGCGGAAGCCUGAUGCAGCAACGCCGCGUGCGGGAUGACGGCCUUCGGGUUGUAAACCGCUUUCGCCUGUGACGAAGCGUGAGUGACGGUAAUGGGUAAAGAAGCACCGGCUAACUACGUG